rnacentral:rRNA from 1 species
AGUGGCGGACGGGUGAGUAACGCGUAAGAAUCUAACUUCAGGACGGGGACAACAGUGGGAAACGACUGCUAAUACCCGAUGUGCCGCGAGGUGAAACCUAAUUGGCCUGAAGAAGAGCUUGCGUCUGAUUAGCUAGUUGGUGGGGUAAGAGCCUACCAAGGCGACGAUCAGUAGCUGGUCUGAGAGGAUGAGCAGCCACACUGGGACUGAGACACGGCCCAGACUCCUGCGGGAGGCAGCAGUGGGGAAUUUUCCGCAAUGGGCGAAAGCCUGACGGAGCAACGCCGCGUGAGGGAGGAAGGUCUUUGGAUUGUAAACCUCUUUUCUCAAGGAGGAAGUUCUGACGGUACUUGAGGAAUCAGCCUCGGCUAACUCCGUGCCAGCAGCCGCGGUAAUACGGGGGAGGCAAGCGUUAUCCGGAAUUAUUGGGCGUAAAGCGUCCGCAGGUGGUCAGCCAAGUCUGCCGUCAAAUCAGGUUGCUUAACGACCUAAAGGCGGUGGAAACUGGCAGACUAGAGAGCAGUAGGGGUAGCAGGAAUUCCCAGUGUAGCGGUGAAAUGCGUAGAGAUUGGGAAGAACAUCGGUGGCGAAAGCGUGCUACUGGGCUGUAUCUGACACUCAGGGACGAAAGCUAGGGGAGCGAAAGGGAUUAGAUACCCCUGUAGUCCUAGCCGUAAACGAUGGAUACUAGGCGUGGCUU